rnacentral:tRNA from 1 species
GCGUUCGUAGCUCAGUUGGUUAGAGCACCACCUUGACAUGGUGGGGGUCGUUGGUUCGAGUCCAUUCGAACGCACCA